rnacentral:rRNA from 2 species
GUCAGGUAGAGAAUACCGAGGCGUUCGGGUGAACUAUGGUUAAGGAACUCGGCAAAAUGCCCCCGUAACUUCGGGAGAAGGGGGGCCACGGCUGGUGAUCACCCUUGCGGUGUGAGCUGGUGGUGGCCGCAGAGACCAGCGAGAAGCGACUGUUUACUAAAAACACAGGUCCGUGCGAAGCCGUAAGGCGAUGUAUACGGACUGACGCCUG